AGGGGCUUGGAGCAGCUGCUCCAGUGGAAGGGGUCCCUGCCCAUGGCAGGGGUUGGAACUGGAUGAGCUUUAAGGUCCCUUCAACCUAAACCAUCCUGUGAUGUUAUGACAAAGGCUGAUGCUUCCUUACUCGGUACAGUUCUUUUUGUGGUGUCAUAAAAAGCACCCAGUGCUGGUCUUCCUGGGGUCACAAGUGACAUCAAGGCACAGAGUCAUUAGUGCACAGGGAGUGUUGGGUAUCGGCACCUUCUUGUUAGCCUCCUGUAAUGAGAAUAUUGGCAUUGGUAUCGCGUGGCUGCCUCUGGCUGACCACGGAGAGGCCGUGCCCAGCUAUGCUGGAGCAGCACCAUGUGGGAAAUGCAAGAUUCCCUGCCAGUGUCCCCCUGCUUGCUGCAGGUUUGUAGCACAGCUCCGACUUUAUGCUUUUUUGGCACAAAAAAUGAGUGGAGAGCAAGUGUGAGGUGUCCAGGCCAGCUUCCAUACGGUGCUCCUGAGAGAGCUGGUGUGUGGUGUCCUGUGAAAACUGCCAAUAGCUCCUGUGCCCGAAGCCUCGGCUGUACUUGGAGUAAACCACCAUGGACAGGGAUAUGACUUUUAUUCUCUCAUCAGGGAUGUGUUGGUUUGGAGAUCCGCCUUGUGCUCCUCAGAGGCCUCUGCUGGCAUGGAGGGACCCUGGACUGAGAAGCUGGCCGCUUGGGAUUUUCCCAUAUUUUUCAGGUCGGCACAUCCUGUGGGACUUGGGAUUACUUUUCUUUGGCAGUUUAGGACAAAUGAGGGAGAAUUACCUUGUGAGAGCUGAACCUUUACCACCUCUGCUUUGGACUGAAGAGCUGCUGCUAUUACAUCCAUGGCAUUUCCAAGCUAAACACAUUUCUGGUGCCAAAAAGCAGCCUGGAAGACUGAAGUCCUCUCUGUUUAGCCGCCCUGUCUUUAGGAAAACGCCUUGUGAGGAUCCAGAACCAGACUUCGUGUUCAAAGCCAUUAUCAGUGUGUAAGCUGAUAUCCUCUGUCUUGGCAACAAAUGAGCCCAAACACCAAACAGCACCAAUGCCUUCUUGGAGAAAAUUAUCCGUCGCAUAAAACGUUAAUGGGUAAGCAAUAAAAUUAGGCCUGUAAUUCAGGCUUGGCUUAAAACUGAGCUAAAAGCCUCACUGGCAUUUGGGUAUUCAGCUGCCAUAGCAUCGUUUUAAUAAACAGAGUCAAUGAGCAGGAAAGGGCCAUAAAUAAAUACAGUUUAUAGUGACAAAAUGGUGGCUGGAGCUGGGUGGCUCGAACAAAGAAAUGCUCUGUGCAUUCCUCGUGAUGUCUGAGGGCUCCCGUAUGGCUAAACCUACGGUUUUCCAGUAAAAAACAAAGCAAGUGGGAUGUGCACUGGAUGCUGUUGGGGAUGAUUGCUGUGUGUCACUAUGUGAUCGCUCUAAUCCAUGCUGGAUGUAGCUGUCCAUGUCCCCAGCUAUGGGGAGAGGUGUAACGCCUUCCUUCCCGACUCCAGCUGUGCUCCACAGAGGAAUUGCUACACUGGGACCCAGUGUAAGGAAUUACACUCUUGGCACAUGGAGCUCCCAUUGCUGUCCCUGUUAGUCUCUAAUCUUUGCUUCUGAAGUGUUUGGCAAGCUGUCCUGGUGACACAUGGCAGCGAGCUCUGCUGCACGGGUAAGAUGCUGCUGUGUUCAGAACAUGGAAACUUGCCUUUUCUCUGGUGUUUGGUGUUCUGUCCUUAAAGGGAGGCUCUCUCUAGCUAGUCUGCAGACCCCAAGGAUGUUUUCUGAUUCUCCUGCCCCUUUUUCUCUCCUCCAAGCUGGUUGCUGCUAACUUUACUAGUUCUUUAUAAGGCAGCCCCGUUUUCUCACGCCUUUAAUGGUUCUCUUUUGAUCUGCCCCCUUCUUGCUUUGAUUUUCUUGCCGUGAACACGGCGUUCAAGCUGAGAUGGGUUUAUAACCUCAUUACUAUAUAGCCUGGUGCUUUAAUCCUCUCCAACUGCCGAUAAGAAAUGUCCCAAUGUUUUCACUACGGGGUUGACCGAGAUGUCCGGAGAUAGCUGGGUUCUCGGCUACACCCACAGGAGUAAUUCAUGUUGCUCCUUGAGGUGUGCCAGGUUCUUGUGUGUACUGAAGGCUGUUGGGCAUUGGAGAGCUGCUGCAGCCCCCUUGUCCUAAACGCUCUGCCCGCCUACGAUGGGUGGCACAUGGGGAUGAGUGUCUGUGCCUUGUCCCUGGAUGCUCAUUAUGGUGUUGCCUGUGGCAGUGUUGGCAGCUGCCAUGUAGGAGCUGUCCUCUGCCAGGGAGGUGCCUUUUGCUGGGUGGAUGGU